rnacentral:snRNA from 1 species
AAACUUAACUUGUAUGAGGAAAUACCUCGAUCAGGAAGGUGGUUCCAUGGCAGUGUUAAGCUUUUGCACUCUGUAAGAAUGACCUAUGCCAUUUUUUCAAAUAUGAGAAACUGAAAUGCAGGAGC